CACGUAGGGGGCAAGCGUUGUCCGGAUUUAUUGGGCGUAAAGAGCUCGUAGGCGGUUCGGUAAGUCGGGUGUGAAACCUCCAGGCUCAACCUGGAGACGCCACCCGAUACUGCUGUGACUAGAGUCCAGUAGGGGAGCGUGGAAUUCCUGGUGUAGCGGUGAAAUGCGCAGAUAUCAGGAGGAACACCAGUGGCGAAGGCGACUGCCUGGGGGGUAACUGACGCUGAGGCGCGAAAGCUGGGGGAGCAAACGGG
rnacentral:rRNA from 1 species